rnacentral:rRNA from 1 species
GACGAACGCUGGCGGCGCGCCUAACACAUGCAAGUCGAACGGAGCUGAGAGAAGCUUGCUUUUCUUAGCUUAGUGGCGAACGGGUGAGUAACGCGUGAGUAACCUGCCCUGGAGUGGGGGACAACAGUUGGAAACGACUGCUAAUACCGCAUAAGCCCACGAUCCGGCAUCGGAUUGAGGGAAAAGGAUUUAUUCGCUUCAGGAUGGACUCGCGUCCAAUUAGCUAGUUGGUGAGGUAACGGCCCACCAAGGCGACGAUUGGUAGCCGGACUGAGAGGUUGAACGGCCACGUUGGGACUGAGACACGGCCCAGACUCCUACGGGAGGCAGCAGUGGAGGAUAUUGCACAAUGGGGGAAACCCUGAUGCAGCGACGCCGCGUGGAGGAAGAAGGUUUUCGGAUUGUAAACUCCUGUCGUUAGGGACGAUAAUGACGGUACCUAACAAGAAAGCACCGGCUAACUACG